AUUGAACGCUGGCGGAAUGCUUUACACAUGCAAGUCGAACGGCAGCACGGGUGCUUGCACCUGGUGGCGAGUGGCGAACGGGUGAGUAAUACAUCGGAACGUACCCAGUCGUGGGGGAUAACGUAGCGAAAGUUACGCUAAUACCGCAUACGUCCUGAGGGAGAAAGCGGGGGACCGUAAGGCCUUGCGCGAUUGGAGCGGCCGAUGGCGGAUUAGCUAGUUGGUGGGGUAAAGGGCUACCAAGGCGACGAUCCGUAGCGGGUCUGGGAGGACGGCCCGCCACACUAGAACAGAGACACGGUCAAGACUUCUACGGGAGGCAGCAGUGGGGAAUUUUGGACAAUGGGCGAAGCCUGAUCCAGCCAUUCCGCGUGAGUGAAGAAGGCCUUCGGGUUGUAAAGCUCUUUCGGCAGGGAAGAAACGGCUUGGGAUAAUACCCCGGGCUAAUGACGGUACCUGAAGAAGAAGCACCGGCUAACUACGUGCCAGCCGCCGCGGUAA
rnacentral:rRNA from 1 species